rnacentral:rRNA from 2 species
CCCUAAAAGCUUUAUUUUAAAUAUAUUUUAAAAAUUAAUUAUAAGUAAUAAAUUAAAUAUAAAAAUUAACUGGGGUAGUUGUUUCAAAAAAAUUGAAAUUUUUUUACAGUUUUAAAUAAAUGGUUUAAGUUCUUUUAGAUAAGGAAAAUUAGUGUUAGUUACUUUAGGGAUAACAGCGUUAUAUUUUUGGAGAGAUCUUAUCUAUAAAAAUGAUUGCGACCUCGAUGUUGAAUUAAAAUUACUUUAUAAGGUAGAAU